ACCACGCUGGCCUCCAGGCCCCGCCCCGUCUUACUCUAGCCUUUCUCCACCAGGGUGGAGAUUGAAAAGGGAAAGAAGGAAGCAAGAACUCGAUUGCUUCUUAGUUAUGCUAAUGAGCACAUUCAGUGACAUUUCUUGGCCGAAGGGAAAAGAACGCCCACCCUUGGAGACUUUAAAAGCGGGUGGGUCUCCCUUUGCACCGGCAAGUGCACCUCUAAGAUUCUGAUUCUUUCCUCGGCUGGAAGUUAAAAGUGCAGCGCUUUCGUUUCAGUGUGCUAUAUUCUAUUUCUGCGCUAUCUCACCGAGACCAGCCAAGCGGAUCAACUACGUAGAAGGCAGAAGGAUGCCUAGUCCCUCUCCAUUCGUUCCUUAAGAUCUCUGUGCCACCAUCCUUUCCUCCUCCUUCUCUGUCACCCAUUUCGUUUCCAGGAGGCGCAGAGAAGCUCCAAACUGAGCUUUCUCCAGCAGCCACGUGCCGAGAGUAGACCUAAAGGUCGGUUUUCGGACAGUCCAUUUCAUAGGAUGUCUCAAGCGGGAGAGAAUCAAAUCCGGGUCACGUGAAUACACUGCCUUGAUAGUCUGUGUUGCUGUUGCAAAUGAUUCACAAGCCCUCAAGAAGGAAGGCUGGCUGUCCUCCAGCCUCACCGCCCACUCGUAGGAAUAUUGUAACCCAAUUUUUCCCCAGGAGCGCAUCUCUGCCCUGAAAGCAACUUUCCUCUCGGACUUGCCCGGUUGAACCCCGCCCUUCAAACCCCCAACUUGAUUUGGAAAGCAGCCGGUCUCCACGGAUGCACUAGGCAGUUUCCACCUAGGUUACGAAGGAUGGCGGCACGUUUCGAACCACGUGCUUCUCCCCACAAGUGCCGCUUCGGACUCCCACCACCAGAACCCCAGUUUGCACAGGUGCAGGAGACAGAGCCAGAGGAUAGCCCCCAGAAACCAGCGUUACCUUUCCACGCUUCCCACCGCCGUUCCUCCUCCCAUCCCAGGAUCCAGCCUGAGUCUGGAGCUCCAUCCAAGCAUCUUUCUUGGCGCCCGACUCCUCCAGGGUGGCUGAAUGGAGAGCCCCACCCUACCCCCGGCGGUGCUCCAGCACCACUAAAAGGCAACGCUAACAACUGCAAUUGUCCUGUUCUGCCACUUUGCUGGAAUCUGUAAGAAGUCUAGCCAGAGGUAAAGGAUUCUGGGCUUUCUGCCUCUCCAGCCCCCCAUACCAUCUAUUUACAUAUUUUGUGAAAGAAAAGCUUUGGAUCUUUGCUUCUCAGCUGAGUCCCGACAGCCUCAAGGAUCCCAGCGAGGUUGUGUAAAGUGGUAUUAGGGAACUAAUCCUCACUUUAGGUCUGUGCCUAUGUAGCAGAUUCUCCUUCAAA